CACGUAGGGCGCAAGCGUUGUCCGGAAUUAUUGGGCGUAAAGAGCUCGUAGGCGGUCUGUUGCGUCCGCUGUGAAAACUCGGGGCUUAACCCCGAGCCUGCAGUGGAUACGGGCAGACUAGAGGUAGGUAGGGGAGAAUGGAAUUCCCGGUGUAGCGGUGAAAUGCGCAGAUAUCGGGAGGAACACCGGUGGCGAAGGCGGGUCGCUGGGCCUUACCUGACGCUGAGGAGCGAAAGCGUGGGGAGCGAACAGG
rnacentral:rRNA from 1 species